GGAAGUAAAAGUCGUAACAAGAUUUCCGUAGGUGGACCUGCGGAAGGAUCAUUACCGAGUGAGGGCCCUCUGGGUCCAACCUCCCACCCGUGUUUAUUUACCUUGUUGCUUCGGCGAGCCUGCCUUUUGGCUGCCGGGGGACGUCAGUCCCCGGGUCCGUGCUCGCCGGAGACACCUUAGAACUCUGUCUGAAGAUUGUAGUCUGAGAUUAAAUAUAAAUUAUUUAAAACUUUCAACAACGGAUCUCUUGGUUCCG
rnacentral:misc_RNA from 1 species